UACGGGGGGGGCAAGCGUUGUUCGGAAUUACUGGGCGUAAAGGGCGCGUAGGCGGCCUGUUAAGUCACACGUGAAAUCCCUCGGCUCAACCGGGGAACUGCGUGUGAUACUGGCGGGCUUGAAUUCGGGAGAGGGAUGUGGAAUUCCAGGUGUAGCGGUGAAAUGCGUAGAUAUCAGGAGGAACACCGGUGGCGAAGGCGGGUCUCUGGGCCGAUACUGACGCUGAGGAGCGAAAGCGUGGGGAGCGAACAGG
rnacentral:rRNA from 1 species